AUUGAACGCUGGCGGCAGGCCUAACACAUGCAAGUCGAGCGAGCGGCGGACGUGUGAGUAAUGUAUGGGGACUGCCCGAUAGAGGGGGAUAACUACUGGAAACGGUGGCUAAUACCGCAUACUAGCGGGUAACCCUUAUGUGAUUAGCUAGUAGGUAGGGUAAAGGCUCACCAAGGCGACGAUCUCUAGCUGGUCUGUGAGGAUGAUCAGCCAAACUGGGACGAAGAACCGGCCCAGCCUCGUUCGGAGGCAGCAGUGGGGAAGAUUGCACAAUGGGCGCAAGCAUGAUGCAGCCAUGCCUCGUGUAUGAAGAAGGCCUUAGGGUUGUAAAGUACUUUCAGCGGGGAGGCGUUACCCGCAGAAGAAGCACCGGCUAACUCCGUGCCAGCAGCCGCGUUAAUAC
rnacentral:rRNA from 1 species